CUCGAGUUGGACCUUGCAGUUAUGAAGCCAGAAGCCAACAACAGCCGCCAUCCAUCUCUGCAGGUGGAAAGCCACCGCUGAGGAACAACGGCCAUUGUUGUCAAAACCAAAAGGGAGAGGUGAGGCUUGCGGCCGCCCGUCACCUGAGAGCGCCAGGGGCCCAUCCACACGUUUGCCACGCACACAAGAGGGCCACUACAGAUGACACAAAGGCAGGCAGGGAAAAGGACAAUGAGGUGCUGUGGGAGGAGGACAACAGAGGAGUGGCCCUCAUUUGUUAUUCCCCUCAUCUGUCAGUUUUCACCUGGGCUACUAGAGAUGAGAGGUGCAACUUGCGUAAGAGACGGGUGAGCUACUGGCUUCAAACGUGUGACCUUUCUAUUGUGAGACAUAACCUGUGGCACUACAAGCUGAGUCAUUAGCGAUGCUAUCUUAAAUGCAAUGCAAACCAUGUUCAUGCUUAAAGCAAUCAGCCAUUUAAUUUCUAUACAAUUAAAUUAAAUCUGUUUUGCAAAUUUCUGACAAUUGUAUGUUGUGUAGUGUGUUUCUGUAGUAAAAGUGUUACAUACAGGAACAAAACGUCAGCAGAAAACCCAAGGAGAAGUCACUGUCUCAACUACAAAUACCCCAAAAUAAAAACAAAUCAAGAAUC